GGUCUGGUGGUGUAGUUGGUUAUCACGUCAGUCUAACAGUCCGAGGUGUCUCCCGAUCCCUUCUCCUGUUCCACUGAAGGUCUCCGGUUCAAGUCCGGGCUAGAUCA
rnacentral:tRNA from 1 species